UACGUAGGGGGCUAGCGUUGUCCGGAAUCAUUGGGCGUAAAGAGCGCGUAGGCGGCCCGGUAAGUCCGCUGUGAAAGUCGGGGGCUCAACCCUCGGAUGCCGGUGGAUACUGUCGAGCUUGAGUACGGAAGAGGCGAGUGGAAUUCCUGGUGUAGCGGUGAAAUGCGCAGAUAUCAGGAAGAACACCAAUGGCGAAGGCAGUUCUCUGGGACGGUACUGACGCUGAGACGCGAAAGCGUGGGGAGCGAACAGG
rnacentral:rRNA from 1 species